AGCUUUUUGAAUCCGUGUUGACAUUUCGUCAGACACCAACUCAUUAGGGCUGAUCAAACGUCCAAGAUAAGUGAGUUU
rfam:Schistosoma mansoni strain Puerto Rico chromosome 6, complete genome